UACGUAGGGGGCGAGCGUUGUCCGGAGUUACUGGGCGUAAAGCGCUUGUAGGCGGUCCACCAAGUUUGGGGUGACAGUUGCCGACUUAAUCGGCAAAGUGCCUCAAAGACUGGCGGACUUGAGGGCCACAGAGGGACAUGGAAUUUCAGGUGUAGUGGUGAAAUGCGUAGAUAUCUGGAAGAACACCAAAGGCGAAGGCAGUGUCCUGGGUGGUCGCUGACGCUGAGAGGCGAAAGCCAGGGGAGCGAACGGG
rnacentral:rRNA from 1 species